rnacentral:rRNA from 1 species
AUACGUAGGGGGCAAGCGUUAUCCGGAUUUACUGGGUGUAAAGGGAGCGUAGACGGCAAAGCAAGUCUGAAGUGAAAGCCCCGGGCUCAACCCGGGAAUUGCUUUGGAAACUGUUUAGCUAGAGUGCAGGAGAGGUAAGCGGAAUUCCUAGUGUAGCGGUGAAAUGCGUGGAUAUUAGGAGGAACACCGGCGGCGAAGGCGGCUUACUGGACUGUAACUGACGUUGAGGCUCGAAAGCGUGGGGAGCAAACAGGAUUAGAUACCCUGGUAGUCCACGCCGUAAACGAUGAUUACUAGGUGUUGGUUGUCAUAGACAAUCGGUGCCGCAGCAAACGCAAUAAGUAAUCCACCUGGGGAGUACGUUCGCAAGAAUGAAACUUAAAGGAAUUGACGGGG